GAGAUUUGACGGUACUUGAGGAAUAGCACGGCUAUUCCGUGCAGCAGCGCGUAUACGGGAGUGGCAAGCGUUAUCCGGAAUUUUGGGCGUAAAGCGUCCGCAGGCGGCUUUUCAAGUCUGCUGUUAAAGCGUGGAGCUUAACUCCAUCAUGGCAGUGGAAACUGAAAGGCUUGAGUAUGGUAGGGGCAGAGGGAAUUCCCGGUGUAGCGGUGAAAUGCGUAGAUAUCGGGAAGAACACCAGUGGCGAAGGCGCUCUGCUGGGCCAUUACUGACGCUCAUGGACGAAAGCCAGGGGAGCGAAAGGGAUUAGAUACCCCUGUAGUCCUGGCCGUAAACGAUGAACACUAGGUGUCGGGGGAAUCGACCCCUUCGGUGUCGUAGCUAACGCGUUAAGUGUUCCGCCUGGGGAGUACGCACGCAAGUGUGAAACUCAAAGGAAUUGACGGGGGCCCGCACAAGCGGUGGAGUAUGUGGUUUAAUUCGAUGCAACGCGAAGAACCUUACCAGGGUUUGACAUCCUGCGAACCUCUUAGAAAUUUGAGGGUGCCUUCGGGAAUGCAGUGACAGGUGGUGCAUGGCUGUCGUCAGCUCGUGUCGUGAGAUGUUGGGUUAAGUCCCGCAACGAGCGCAACCCACGUUUUUAGUUGCCAGCAUUUAGUUGGGCACUCUAGAAAGACCGCCGGUGAUAAACCGGAGGAAGGUGUGGAUGACGUCAAGUCAUCAUGCCCCUUACACCCUGGGCUACACACGUACUACAAUGCUACGGACAAAGGGCAGCAAACUCGCGAGAGCUAGCAAAUCCCAUAAACCGUGGCUCAGUUCAGAUCGUAGGCUGCAACUCGCCUACGUGAAGUAGGAAUCGCUAGUAAUCGCAGGUCAGCAUACUGCGGUGAAUACGUUCCCGGGCCUUGUACACACCGCCCGUCACACCAUGGAAGUUGGCCAUGCCCGAAGUCGUUACUCCAACCCUUGUGGAAGG
rnacentral:rRNA from 1 species